GACGAACGCUGGCGGCGUGCUUAACACAUGCAAGUCGAACGGAAAGGCCCUGCUUUUGUGGGGUGCUCGAGUGGCGAACGGGUGAGUAACACGUGAGUAACCUGCCCUUGACUUUGGGAUAACUUCAGGAAACUGGGGCUAAUACCGGAUAGGAGCUCCUGCUGCAUGGUGGGGGUUGGAAAGUUUCGGCGGUUGGGGAUGGACUCGCGGCUUAUCAGCUUGUUGGUGGGGUAGUGGCUUACCAAGGCUUUGACGGGUAGCCGGCCUGAGAGGGUGACCGGCGACAUGGGGACGAAGGUAGGCCGCAGGCUGGAAGGGGAGGAAGCGGGGGGGAGUAUGGAAGAGUGGGGGGGAGUGUGAGACGGCGGCCCCGCGUGCGGAAUAAGGGCCGUCGGGUUAAAAACCGCUUGCGCAGGAAACGAGGGGAGAGUGACGGUAAUGGAUAAAGAAGCACCGGCUAACUACGUG
rnacentral:rRNA from 1 species